UUUAUGGAGAGUUUGAUCCUGGCUCAGGAUGAACGCUGGCGGCGUGCCUAAUACAUGCAAGUCGAGCGAACAGAUGAGGAGCUUGCUCCUUUGACGUUAGCGGCGGACGGGUGAGUAACACGUGGGUAACCUACCUAUAAGACUGGAAUAACUCCGGGAAACCGGGGCUAAUGCCGGAUAACAUGUUGAACCGCAUGGUUCAACAGUGAAAGACGGUUUUGCUGUCACUUAUAGAUGGACCCGCGCCGUAUUAGCUAGUUGGUAAGGUAACGGCUUACCAAGGCGACGAUACGUAGCCGACCUGAGAGGGUGAUCGGCCACACUGGAACUGAGACACGGUCCAGACUCCUACGGGAGGCAGCAGUAGGGAAUCUUCCGCAAUGGGCGAAAGCCUGACGGAGCAACGCCGCGUGAGUGAUGAAGGUCUUCGGAUCGUAAAGCUCUGUUGUUAGGGAAGAACAUAUGUGUAAGUAACUGUGCACAUCUUGACGGUACCUAACCAGAAAGCCACGGCUAACUACGUGCCAGCAG
rnacentral:rRNA from 1 species